AACGAACGCUGGCGGCAUGCCUAACACAUGCAAGUCGAACGAGACCUUCGGGUCUAGUGGCGCACGGGUGCGUAACGCGUGGGAAUCUGCCCUUGGGUACGGAAUAACAGUUAGAAAUGACUGCUAAUACCGUAUAAUGACUUCGGUCCAAAGAUUUAUCGCCCAGGGGAUGAGCCCGCGUAGGAUUAGCUUGUUGGUGAGGUAAAGGCUCACCAAGGCGACGAUCCUUAGCGGUCUGAGAGGAUGAUCAGCCACACUGGGACUGAGACACGGCCCAGACUCCUACGGGAGGCAGC
rnacentral:rRNA from 1 species